ACUCAGCACAGGCAAACCUCUCUGUGACGCACACACCCCAAGGCACCUCGCUGUUCAAAUCUCAGUUCAGCCCUUCAGGACAGUAUGAUGUUGUGGUCCAGUGGUCGGCAGAUGCAGUAUUCUACAGCUCGGCGGUCUUUCCCAGGUGCAGCAGUCUGUAGGUGUUUUGCUCAGCUUUUGAUCUCUGGCGUUCAGCCUGCUGGUCUGCCAGCAAGCUGUAGAUGGUCGUGAGUUUUCCCCAAGAUUUGCCCGGUUUAAUACUGGCUAUCAUCAUAUUGACCACUCCAUUUUCUGAUGUGGUGGAACAGUUUGCACUGUCAUCGUUAUCUUCAUCUCAUUGAACUUCAAGCAAAAUGCAAGCCAUCAAUCCAGGACCUUCUACAGAAAUGCAUCCUACACCUUUCACAGACUUAAAUGUACUGUGUGCAGUAAUGCUCGAAUGACUAUACUCGGGAACGUCCAAAUAUGGAGAAGAGUAAACAUUAAUAACAUAUUUGUAAUAAUCAGCUCAUUACAUAUUAUUCUUGCUGAUAGUAUGAGUACAUCAAUGCAGAAAUUGCAAAGUUCUUGCCCACUUGUUAAAGUGAAGGUAGA